CAGAGUGUAGGGUGGGCCGGGGAGGGAAGCGCUGAGCACGGACCCCGCCCCUUCGCGGCUCGGUGCGUGACGUCGCUAGGGGCGCCGGCCUCCGCCCGGCCCCGAGGGGCUCUCCCUGGAGGCCCAGGCCCCUCUGCUCCCCAUGGGCAACUGCCAGGCAGUGCACAACCUGCACCUUUGUCUGGCCCACCACCCACCUCUGGUCUGUGCCACUUUGAUCCUGCUGCUCCUUGGCCUCUCCGGCCUGGGCCUUGGCAACUUCCUCCUUACCCACAGGACUGGCCUACGCAGCCCUGACAUCCCUCAGGACUGGGUCUCUUUUUUGAGAUCUUUUGGCCAGCUGACCCUGUGUCCCCGGAAUGGGACAGUCACAGGGAAGUGGCGAGGGUCUCACGUCGUGGGCUUACUGACCACCUUGAACUUCGGAGACAGUCCAGACAGGAACAAGACCCGGACAUUCCAGGCCACAGUCCUGGGUAGUCAGAUGGGAUUGAAAGGAUCUGCUGCAGGACAACUGGUCCUCAUCACAGCCAGGGUGACCACAGAAAGGACUGCAGGAACCUGCUUGUAUUUUAGUGCUGUUCCAGGAAUCCUGCCCUCCAGCCAGCCACCCAUAUCCUGUUCAGAGGAGGGGGCCGGAAAUGUCACCCUGAGCCCUAGAAUGGGUGAGGAGUGCAUUAGGGUCUGGAGCCACGAAGGCCUUGUGCUAACCAAGCUGCUCACUUCGGAGGAGCUGGCUCUGUGUGGCUCUAGGCUGCUGGUCUUGGGCUCCUUCCUGCUUCUCUUCUGUGGCCUCUGCUGUGUCACUGCUGUGUGCUUCCACCCGCGCCGGGAGUCCCACUGGUCUAGAACCCGGCUCUGAGGGCACUGGCCUAGUUCCCGACUCGUUUCUCAGACAGAAUUAUACAUAUUCUUUUGUGGCUGACUUCUUUCAAGAAACAUUGUGAUUUUAAGACUCAUCCAUAACUCUAGUUCACAUCCAAGCAUUUGGGUAACAAUGGUGUGAAUCUUCUUUGGCCUUGGCUCUGAGUUGGAAAAGGUUUUAGAAAAAAUUGAAAAGCUGGAAUGUGGGGGAAAAUAAAAGCUUUUUUGCCCA